UACGUAGGGGGCAAGCGUUGUCCGGAAUCAUUGGGCGUAAAGAGCGUGUAGGCGGCUCGAUAAGUCCGCUCUGAAAGCCCGGGGCUCAACCCCGGGAGGCGGGCGGAUACUGUCGAGCUAGAGUCCGGAAGAGGCGAGUGGAAUUCCUGGUGUAGCGGUGAAAUGCGCAGAUAUCAGGAGGAACACCGGUGGCGAAGGCGGGUCUCUGGGCAGUAACUGACGCUGAGGAGCGAAAGCCGUGGGGAGCGAACAGG
rnacentral:rRNA from 1 species